AUAAGUCCCAAAUUGGAGGUUGUGGCUCCGACCAUGGCCCUCCGACGUUCAAGUCAAAAAAGCAAAGAAUAAAAGAGCAGGAACAGGUUCUCUGAAAGAGAUUUGAUUUGACUUACUUGGGUCCUCGAGGCUCUAGUUGUUUAUAAAGAAAGAUGUUGGAUAGUUGGAUUAUUAGCUGUGAGAUCGCAUGAUCCCAAGAUUAUCGGAUCACUAGAUAUGCCAAACUGGAUGAGAUAAUUCAGUCCUUAAACGCUCCUGUG
rnacentral:lncRNA from 1 species